GAUGAACGCUGGCGGCGUGCCUAAUACAUGCAAGUCGAGCGAACGGACGAGAAGCUUGCUUUUCUGAUGUUAGCGGCGGACGGGUGAGUAACACGUCGAUAACCUACCUAUAAGACUGGGAUAACUUCGGGAAACCGGAGCUAAUACCGGAUAAUAUUUUGAACCGCAUGGUUCAAAAGUGAAAGACGGUCUUGCUGUCACUUAUAGAUGGAUCCGCGCUGCAUUAGCUAGUUGGUAAGGUAACGGCUUACCAAGGCAACGAUGCAUAGCCGACCUGAGAGGGUGAUCGGCCACACUGGAACUGAGACACGGUCCAGACUCCUACGGGAGGCAGCAGUAGGGAAUCUUCCGCAAUGGGCGAAAGCCUGACGGAGCAACGCCGCGUGAGUGAUGAAGGUCUUCGGAUCGUAAAACUCUGUUAUUAGGGAAGAACAUAUGUGUAAGUAACUGUGCACAUCUUGACGGUACCUAAUCAGAAAGCCACGGCUAACUACGU
rnacentral:rRNA from 1 species